rnacentral:miRNA from 1 species
GGGUGGGGUCUUGCUUCUUUCU